rnacentral:lncRNA from 1 species
UAUGAACGUGAAAAUACAUGUACUUAUUGUUGUAAUUGCAUCCUUCAACAUCAUUUUCCACUCGUGCAAAACAAAUCAUAUAGCAAUGCUUAUAAUGAGUGGUUGCGCUCUUCCAAUAUUAUAAACCCCCUAAAUUUGGCAAAGGCGUAUUUACGGUAAAACCAGUCGAUCAACGGUGUAGUUGACGGUUCUGUGCCUUUCUCUCUUGAGUUGUCCUCUCAAGGUUACCUUGUCUAGCACUUCAAAAAUAGAAACCUUACUCUAUUUAACUGUUCAUGCACUAUGGUGAAACUUAGCCGAGUCAGUCAUAUCGUCCCCAUAAUGACUCAUCAGGAUAGCCUAAACAGAAGUCCAUCGGGUUUCCUUGAAAC